AAAUACUCUCCACAUCAGAGGGUUUGUUUACAAGACAACGGUUCUAUUACAAUUGAAAACUAUACUUUGUCUAGCAUACAACAUAGAGCAAAAUGUAUGCUUCUGGAGAAAGCAUUUCUUCAACACUAGUAACCUACAAAAGAUUGAACAUGACAAUUAGGUCCAAGAAAAUAUGUUUUAUUGUCUUUAUAAGACUAAAAAACAUGCCAAUAAUAUUAUAUAUAUAUAUAUAUAAGGCUCAAAAUAUUAUGAUGAACCAACCUAGAAAUAGAAAUUGCACAGCCAUAACAUUUGACUAAAAGAUAAUCUAGCCUUUAGUGGAAUUUUAGGGGCAGCAGGUUGCUUGUGUAUCUUAUACAUUACAUAUAGAAGCAUUAUAGUUUUCCUUACUCCAACUCAACCACCACAAAAUUCUUAUUAGUCCUACUUUUUACUAGCCAAGAACUCUCCUUUAUCCCAUACAAUUAGCAUUCCUACAUCUUUCCUCUUAUGAUUGUUUCACUAUUUUAAUGAGCACAAAAGAGAAAUAGAACAAAUAAUAAAGAACAAAAAACAAAGGGUAAAUGGUAAAUAGAUGUAGCUAACAAUACAACAUAAUAGAAAAACCAAUAAUCAUAGCUUAGCUUACGUUUCCCAACCCUUUAAAACAUCCUUAACUGUCAAAAUAGAACUCUAAACCAGCAAAAACUUUAAUAAUAUACUUCAAUUUUGCAAUAAAAUACUAUGUUAAUAUGAUGCAACAAUCAAUCAGUACGCCUCAACCAUGCACCAUGAAAAGACAUAUCUUCUUCCCCUUCCUUUUCCCCUUUACUUUUUCUUUAAACACCAACUCGGAUGUUGAAAUUCAAUCCUUCGAUGAAUAGAUAUACAUAUAGGGUCAUUACAUUUUUACUAAUGAUUUGUCAUUGUAGUGCUGCAGUUAAAUUGAUUAGAAUGUAAUCCCAAGUUUUUGUCUCAAACAUUUAUAUUCUUACAAAGUUAAUAACUUCAAAAUUGUAAAUCCAAAAUAAAAUCAAUUUAAAGGAUAUCUUACUUUCCUAUGUUAUUAUUAUUAAGUAAAUUAUAAGGGUGUGUGAGAGUAAAUUGUAAAUGUAUCAAAAAAUUAACUACAGAGAAAAAAGAAAAGAGGUACCUGUGUUUUCCAAUUGGCUUCAGCAUCCUUCUAUUGCUGACUUAGAACUAAAUCCUCUUGAAAGAUUACAAAAGGCGAAGUUGAAGCCCUAAUAUAAUAACAAAAUUGAAAGUGAAGAUUAUGAUCAAUUUACAAACUUUGCUACUGCUGUGGCUGAGAGAAAAAGUGAGUGAGAUUGCAAAAGAAAGAAAAAACUGGUUGACAGCCAUCACGAGAAAUGCUGUGAAAUUCCUCUUCAACCAAAAGAAAAUAACCAGAUUGGCUUUUUACAACUUUUCUAAAAUUCAGUAAAAUAGUGAUAUACCUUGAUAGGACUGGAAAGCCAAAUUUUGAGGGUUUUUUUCGAAAUGUAGACUUGGUAAGAAUGACGGUCAACCGACAGAGAUGAUGAUACUGAGAUGAGGAGGUGCAGCCAACGGACAAAGAGGAGGAGGGGGGGCAAAGGCUGACAGAUAGAACGGAAGGGAGAACGAUUGUUUAAUCAUCGUGAUGAGAGUGAAGAGAAAGAAAAUGUUUUACAGGAAUCUGUAAGGCGUUUUCCAAAAUGAAAGCAUUAGAUUUAC
rnacentral:lncRNA from 1 species